rnacentral:misc_RNA from 1 species
CCAAUAGCGUAUAUUAAAGUUGUUGUGGUUAAAAAGCUCGUAGUUGAACCUUGGGCCUGGCUGGCCGGUCCGCCUCACCGCGUGUACUGGUCCGGCCGGGCCUUUCCCUCUGUGGAACCCCAUGCCCUUCACUGGGUGUGGCGGGGAAACAGGACUUUUACUGUGAAAAAAUUAGAGUGCUCCAGGCAGGCCUAUGCUCGAAUACAUUAGCAUGGAAUAAUAGAAUAGGACGUGUGGUUCUAUUUUGUUGGUUUCUAGGACCGCCGUAAUGAUUAAUAGGGACAGUGGGGGGCAUCAGUAUUCAAUUGUCAGAGGUGAAAUUCUUGGAUUUAUUGAAGACUAACUACUGCGAAAGCAUUUGCCAAGGAUGUUUUCAUUAAUCAGGAACGAAAGUUAGGGGAUCGAAGACGAUCAGAUACCGUCGUAGUCUUAACCAUAAACUAUGCCGACUAGGGAUCGGACGGUGUUAUUUUUUGACCCGUUCGGCACCUUACG